rnacentral:rRNA from 1 species
UGUGAGCUCGAUGAGUAGGGCGGGACACGUGGUAUCCUGUCUGAAUAUGGGGGGACCAUCCUCCAAGGCUAAAUACUCCUGACUGACCGAUAGUGAACCAGUACCGUGAGGGAAAGGCGAAAAGAACCCCGGCGAGGGGAGUGAAAAAGAACCUGAAACCGUGUACGUACAAGCAGUGGGAGCACGCUUAGGCGUGUGACUGCGUACCUUUUGUAUAAUGGGUCAGCGACUUAUAUUCUGUAGCAAGGUUAACCGAAUAGGGGAGCCGAAGGGAAACCGAGUCUUAACUGGGCGUUAAGUUGCAGGGUAUAGACCCGAAACCCGGUGAUCUAGCCAUGGGCAGGUUGAAGGUUGGGUAACACUAACUGGAGGACCGAACCGACUAAUGUUGAAAAAUUAGCGGAUGACUUGUGGCUGGGGGUGAAAGGCCAAUCAAACCGGGAGAUAGCUGGUUCUCCCCGAAAGCUAUUUAGGUAGCGCCUCGUGAAUUCAUCUCCGGGGGUAGAGCACUGUUUCGGCAAGGGGGUCAUCCCGACUUACCAACCCGAUGCAAACUGCGAAUACCGGAGAAUGUUAUCACGGGAGACACACGGCGGGUGCUAACGUCCGUCGUGAAGAGGGAAACAACCCAGACCGCCAGCUAAGGUCCCAAAGUCAUGGUUAAGUGGGAAACGAUGUGGGAAGGCCCAGACAGCCAGGAUGUUGGCUUAGAAGCAGCCAUCAUUUAAAGAAAGCGUAAUAGCUCACUGGUCGAGUCGGCCUGCGCGGAAGAUGUAACGGGGCUAAACCAUGCACCGAAGCUGCGGCAGCGACGCUGAUGCGUUGUUGGGUAGGGGAGCGUUCUGUAAGCCUGCGAAGGUGUGCUGUGAGGCAUGCUGGAGGUAUCAGAAGUGCGAAUGCUGACAUAAGUAACGAUAAAGCGGGUGAAAAGCCCGCUCGCCGGAAGACCAAGGGUUCCUGUCCAACGUUAAUCGGGGCAGGGUGAGUCGACCCCUAAGGCGAGGCCGAAAGGCGUAGUCGAUGGGAAACAGGUUAAUAUUCCUGUACUUGGUGUUACUGCGAAGGGGGGACGGAGAAGGCUAUGUUGGCCGGGCGACGGUUGUCCCGGUUUAAGCGUGUAGGCUGGUUUUCCAGGCAAAUCCGGAAAAUCAAGGCUGAGGCGUGAUGACGAGGCACUACGGUGCUGAAGCAACAAAUGCCCUGCUUCCAGGAAAAGCCUCUAAGCAUCAGGUAACAUCAAAUCGUACCCCAAACCGACACAGGUGGUCAGGUAGAGAAUACCAAGGCGCUUGAGAGAACUCGGGUGAAGGAACUAGGCAAAAUGGUGCCGUAACUUCGGGAGAAGGCACGCUGAUAUGUAGGUGAAGUCCCUCGCGGAUGGAGCUGAAAUCAGUCGAAGAUACCAGCUGGCUGCAACUGUUUAUUAAAAACACAGCACUGUGCAAACACGAAAGUGGACGUAUACGGUGUGACGCCUGCCCGGUGCCGGAAGGUUAAUUGAUGGGGUCAGCGCAAGCGAAGCUCUUGAUCGAAGCCCCGGUAAACGGCGGCCGUAACUAUAACGGUCCUAAGGUAGCGAAAUUCCUUGUCGGGUAAGUUCCGACCUGCACGAAUGGCGUAAUGAUGGCCAGGCUGUCUCCACCCGAGACUCAGUGAAAUUGAACUCGCUGUGAAGAUGCAGUGUACCCGCGGCAAGACGGAAAGACCCCGUGAACCUUUACUAUAGCUUGACACUGAACAUUGAGCCUUGAUGUGUAGGAUAGGUGGGAGGCUUUGAAGUGUGGACGCCAGUCUGCAUGGAGCCGACCUUGAAAUACCACCCUUUAAUGUUUGAUGUUCUAACGUUGACCCGUGAUCCGGGUUGCGGACAGUGUCUGGUGGGUAGUUUGACUGGGGCGGUCUCCUCCUAAAGAGUAACGGAGGAGCACGAAGGUUGGCUAAUCCUGGUCGGACAUCAGGAGGUUAGUGCAAUGGCAUAAGCCAGCUUGACUGCGAGCGUGACGGCGCGAGCAGGUGCGAAAGCAGGUCAUAGUGAUCCGGUGGUUCUGAAUGGAAGGGCCAUCGCUCAACGGAUAAAAGGUACUCCGGGGAUAACAGGCUGAUACCGCCCAAGAGUUCAUAUCGACGGCGGUGUUUGGCACCUCGAUGUCGGCUCAUCACAUCCUGGGGCUGAAGUAGGUCCCAAGGGUAUGGCUGUUCGCCAUUUAAAGUGGUACGCGAGCUGGGUUUAGAACGUCGUGAGACAGUUCGGUCCCUAUCUGCCGUGGGCGCUGGAGAACUGAGGGGGGCUGCUCCUAGUACGAGAGGACCGGAGUGGACGCAUCACUGGUGUUCGGGUUGUCAUGCCAAUGGCACUGCCCGGUAGCUAAAUGCGGAAGAGAUAAGUGCUGAAAGCAUCUAAGCACGAAACUUGCCCCGAGAUGAGUUCUCCCUGACUCCUUGAGAGUCCUGAAGGAACGUUGAAGACGACGACGUUGAUAGGCCGGGUGUGUAAGCGCAGCGAUGCGUUGAGCUAACCGGUACUAAUGAACCGUGAGGCUUAACCUU